CUCUCGCUCUCUAGCUGUAAGUUCAUUCGCUGUGGCGAGCAACAACUGUGCAAAGAGGAGGUUUGAUCCUGUUGUUGAGCAUCAUCCCUCCCUGAGAUGCUGCUGCUGCUGAUGCUGCUGCUACUGCAGCCUCAUCCACCUGCACAACUCCAUGGCUGGCUGGCUGGCUGGCUGGCUGGCUGACUGGCUGGCUGACACGUUAGGCGCUACUGCUACACGCUGGGACUGCGAGGGGGCUGCCUGCGCAUGGGGAACACCUGCCUGUGAACAAACGCUGCUGGUCGACACGCAGGCUGCUAACCCCAUUGCAAUCCCCCGCUCUCCACUGUGGACAACACAAAAACAAGGUGAUAUACCUUACAAUCACGGCAUGUCUUCUCUGAGGCAGGGGAUCAGACACCAGCCUGGCUAGUAGCUCUGUGGAAGGCUGUGCCUGGACCAACACUCACAGGGAGGUUUCAUUAUGUGUGGAUAUGCUGGUGUGGGGUGAGAGCGAAAGAGAGAGAGAGAGCAGGACAGGGCUAAAAUGGGCAUCUCUUCCUCCUUAUGGCUCGCUCCUGGAGGACAGGACCACCAGGACUUCCAAGGAGGGCAGGGCUUCAGACCACCUCUGGCCCAGAAAAACCUUUGAAGGGGCCUUGUGUUGUGCUUCAAGGCGUCUUCAAUCAAUUAUGUUGAUACAGCGUCUUUCUCUGUGUUGCUUGCCAUUGGGAUCGACUGAGGAAUUUGAUGAUGCGGUCACGCUUGCUUGCGAUUCCCAUUAUUGCCUCUCUGUGUUAAAGAUUCUCUUCGGUGACGGGUAUUCUUGGGUGUAUAAUACGGAUCACGUUGUUAUUGCUUAAGAAUACGCGUAGUCGAGGAGAGUCCUCUUCUUCUUCUUCGUCUGUCUUCGUCUGCAGCUGAGGACUAUUGAUCAGAUCGAAGCAGCUCAAAGUACACCCUUACCUGUUUCCUUUUAAUACUGAGGAGUUGGCACACCGAAACACAAACCGUAGAGACUGACUGACAUCCAGGCCCAUUUAUCAAGCAAGGAGACAGAGCACUGCCGGCUGCCUAUCUGUUUCAGUGAUGAUUGUGCUGUCCAGUCUUGAGAUAGUGUUGUCGACCAACCUCUCUCGUCUGCAGUUUUUUUUUUUAACCGCCCCCCCCUCCCCACCCUUUCUCAUAAUUGUUUAUACUGUGUUGUUGUCGUUUUGUCACAAAUGUUUCAGAUGUCACAUGUUUAUUUGACCAUUAUCAUGUCCAGUAUAUGAAAGUGUAUUUGCAUAUAUUCAUGCUGCAUUAUGUAUUUGUGUUGUGUGGUAGAUAUGCUACAGUGAGUGUGUAUUUCAUAGGCUUCUGAUACAAACGGAUAGUGUUGUUGUGCAGUUAUAGCAGAGGUUAGACUGCAUGGCCCUGGUCCUCUCUCAUGCAAAUCUCUCGAGUCUAUUUAUUAUCAGUCGUCCAGACCAAGCACUCUUUUCCUCCUUCUCCUUUUUUAUGCAAAUUGAUUUUGAAAUGACAUUUAUCGCGUUGGGUUUUCCACACGAAAGAGCUGCCACACCGGAGCCCAGACAACAAAAUGUCCACCGCUCUAGCGAGAGCUCAAUUUAUGCAUUGGAGGAGAGUGGGUCUCGAUAACAAUUACCACAGGCUCAAAUAGACCAUAACUGGGUUUUCCAUGUUAUCAUAUGUAUGUUAUAUGCCAUGAAUAUGUAUCAGUCAGUCCCCCUGGUCGGAUGCAGGGUGCAUUCUGAACCUUAACACCCAUGUAAAAUCCAUUUAAACACCAUUAUAGAAACUACUUAACUUAUAGAGCCUCACUCAAGAUUCCCCUCCAAAAUUUUUUAAAAUGUCUAUUAAAUGUCAUAAAAAAAUUAAUGUAUGGUAUUUAAUAUUCAAAAGGUUUUCGUUUUUUUUUUUUUUACAAGCAUUCUUUGUCUUUUAAGAAUAAUGAAAAAAUCAACAGCUAAACAACUGGUCUAUCAUACAAAUUAAUUAAACUAGCUGUACUAAUACCAUUUCUAUUAUUUAAAUGAAUACAGUUAUAUGUUAACUGCUUGGCUCGCUUGAUAAGAAAGAAACACCAGAAGCUUGGUUGACCCCAUAUUUCACCACUAUGGAAACUACAUAUCUGAUAAAGAUCAUAUCAGAAUGUACUUUUGGAUAUCACCUCCUGUAUUGGAUCUAAAUGAUUUCCGAGGGGGGGGGGGUAGACAUACGUCUAAUUUGUUGUGCUUCAAUGAAUCUCUGUAUUUUCUGUUUUGAAACAAACCAGGCCCUUGCUGCUGAACCAUUCUUUACCUAACCAUGAUCACGUGGUGUGGUCCAGAUCAAUUCAGCUGCUGAACCAUUCUUUACCUAACCAUGAUCACGUGGUGUGGCCCAGAUCAAUUCAGCUGCUGAACCAUUCUUUACCUAACCAUGAUCACGUGGUGUGGCCCAGAUCAAUUCAGCUGCUGAACCAUUCUUUACCUAACCAUGAUCACGUGGUGUGGUCCAGAUCAAUUCAGCUGCUGAACCAUUCUUUACCUAACCAUGAUCACGUGGUGUGGUCCUGAUCAAUUCAGCUGCUGAACCAUUCUUUACCUAACCAUGAUCACGUGGUGUGGUCCAGAUCAAUUCAGCUGCUGAACCAUUCGUUGCCUAUGCCUGCUUUUUGGAUGUUCUCUUGUCACGUUUACAUUACAUUACUAGUAGACAAUGUCAAUUAUCCCGAUAGACAGUAAGAAUGUCAGAGCCAAUAGUCAAAUGUCUAGAUUCAGUGAAUUGAGCAUGACAUGUAUUGCACACAUCUUAUUAAUACUAUUCUUAUUUUACAAGAAUAGUAUUAUAAAUUGAUCCCUUUAUAUUCUAGCAAUGUUCUGCUCUCCUACAAAGUGUACUUGCACGCAAAUUUGACGUUUAUACAUCUUUAAGUACGACUACAUUUGUUAUUAUAACUAAAGUAUUAACAUCCUUUAAAUUCACUAAAUAUGUUACAGUAAUAUACAUUGGAAAUCCAAUGACAUUAAAUCCAAUAGCUAUCUGAUAGUUUGCAUGAUUUCCUCUUUCAUUUAGGUGUGUUUCAUUCAGAGCGCAUCAUUACUUUAGUGAUAAAAUGUAUUACACAAACACAGCUGCAAUGUAAACUACAAUGCCAAUGACCCAUGUAUUGUAAAAGUGCCUUAUUCUAUAAAUAAAAUUUCACA